ACGGGUGUGAGAGCUGGCCAUUAAUAAAGACUGAGCACCGAAGAAUUGAUGCCUUCGAACCUUGGUGCUGGAGAAUACUCUUGAGAGUCCCUUAGCCAGAAAGAAGAUCAAACCAGUCAACCCUAGAGGAAAUCAACUCAAUAUUCAUUGCAAGGACUGAUGCUGAAGCUGAAGCUCCAACACUUUGGCUACCUAAUGGAAGAGCUAACACAUUGGAAAAGACCCUGAUGCUGGGGAAGAUUAAAGGCAGGAGGAGAAGGGGAUGACAGAGGAUGAGAUGGUUGGGUGGCCUCACCGACUCGAUGGACAUGAGUUUGAUCAAACUCUGGGAAUGGCGGAGGACAGGGAAGCCUGGCGUGCUGCUGUCCAUGGGGUCGCAAAGAGUUGGACACAACUGAGCAACUGAACAACAACCACCCUUCACCAACCAUUUCACCUUUUACAACUUGGUUGACCCUCGGGACCCACAGUCUCAUCGUGUCUCGCACAGAAUUCAGCAGAGGGCACAGGUGGUGGCUUGGCCGGUUGGUGAUCUCCUGACAGCCGGGUCUCCAGCAAUGUGAAGCUUUCAUUUGGGUUUUCCCCCUCCUCUUACUUUUGCUUUAUUUUUUUGUCCCCCCCCCCUUUUUUUUUUAAUUUAAACGAUUAAGACUUCAGAAGAGCAGGAAGUUAUGCUGUGGACAGGCACCACUUUCUUUAAAGAAACUCAAUAUGGACAAAGCAUAUGUAUAAAUUUCACUUUUAAUUUUUAUAAGGGGUUAGGGAGGUAUUUUGUUUUUGUCCUUUAUUUUCCCUGUCUUAUUUCUUUUACCCAUCUCUUAGUUCUGCUUAUAACACCUCACUUCCCCAGAGAAGGCCUACCCCUCCGUGGAGAAUUUGGGGACCUCUCCUGGAUCAGGGGGCAUAAGGACAGAAGGAGGCCUCUGUGCCGCCUCCCCACCAGGUCCAGGAACUGCUGGACCCCCUGGUGGGCUGCUCCUGGUUGGCCCUUGGGCCUUGGAGAUGAUCAGAGGCUAAGAACCACCUAGGAGGGGAAGACCCGAGCUUGGCCAGGAGAACUCAAGAAAGAAGAUCCCUCUUUGGAGUUUGUCUUCUUUAAGCGGUUGGAAAUCCAGAGUCACACCAGGACUUACUACUGCCCUUCAUAACCAGGGGGUUCUGACGGGGGAGGGCCAGAAGGUGACCAUUGCUUACUCCCCGGUAACUGAGCUGCCAGCCCACCCCAGCUCUACAAGCCUACCUUUCUGUCAGUGAUCUUCCUCCCAGACGAUGAUUCCCUGGGAAAAAAUGUCGUGCCAAACCUCUGCCUAGGAUACAGCAGGGUCUUCAGCGGGCAUCUGUCACUCCUCUGAAGUCAGCACCUACCACCUCCUGCCUCCAGGAUCAUCAUCUACCCUGAUGUGGCCGCCAGAUGCCCAGGGUGUCAGAGCCCCCUGCGACCCAGUUGUGAGCAUUGCCGUAAGAACAGGGUGUCCUAAACUGGCUGUUACCUCCUCACAGUGCAGCGGGUGCCCUGUGAGCCAGGCCCAUGCUGUCGUAUAUGGUGACAAUACCGAGCGUCGUCUCCCUCCCCGCAGAGACUUCCUGUUAGGUGCCCGCCCUCCGUGUAAAUGUGUCUGAUGGGAAAGGAUGGACCUGGCUGAGUGGGUGGACCACAGCCAUCAGGUGUCUGUGGGCUUGGUGGCCGUGACUUCCAACCCCACCUCCAGUGUCUGUCUCUAGCCUAUCUUCUGCUCUCCGUCGACGCUCUCGCAGCCUCCCUCUUGAAGAGGCUUUGGAAGAGGCAUGUCUUUUGAAGAGGCGUGUCCUCUCCCCUUGCCAGGAGGAGAGCUGUUCCUCUUGCCCCGUACCCAGAAGCCCCUUCAGCUGCUCCACAGGCUUCUCACCCCAGAACAGCAAGGCGAGGAAGGGAAAAGGAAUUCUUCUUUUGUGUUUAUCUUUGUUGUUGUUUUCUCUAAACCAGCGUAGAAUGGAUAGGUGGAGAUGUUGGAGGGCGUUUUAAGUUGGUAUGUGACCAAGGGGGGCUUCCCCCCAGAGCCACAGUCCUUCCACCCUGGGCGUUUGGAAGAGACCAGCACAGCAUCAGCCCAGAUCUGCAAACUCAGCAGUAUGUUUGCUCACAUUCUUUCCGCCUUUUCUCAAGGCUGCUUCCUCCUCCUGGGCAGAUGGCUGGCUGGCUGUGGUUCGCAGGAUCCGGCAAGGAGGCAGGUGGUGACCAGGCCCCUCACUCCCCUGGGGAUAUGCUGAGCUGCAGCUGGAAGAGCGCAUCCCCUAAUUGCAGUCAGUGCCCCUUCUCCGCCCCACCUCCCUGCCCUCCCUUGGGGGCAGCUGUCUGUCCACGAGCACAUGGGGAAGCAGUCCCUAGACUCGGCACCCCCACCUCUCCCUGGCCAUAGCCCACACUCUGAAAUCCUAGUGAGGGUUCAAGUCUAACCGGAUAUUUACCUUUUGCUUAUCUUUCCCUUCUGCCCUCCCCAGGUGUCUUAGCUCUGAGUAAGGUCCCAGGUGGCCAUUCCUUUUGGGUGAGGUGGGUGGCCUCGGUCAGGUAGCAGUGUCCACGUACCUUUGUCUUGCAGGACUCCCAGCCCAUCCUCGCUUGGUGGCAGGACCUCCUUCCCUAGCUCCUGAGGCCCAGCUUGUUAGCCCCAAGUGCCUGUCUUUCCCCCUCCCCCGCUCUCCACUUCAUCUGCCUCGGGCACCCAGCAGCCAGUGGAAGGCAGCCCGAAGUCAAGGCUGGCUCUCCCUGGGUAGCUGCCCGUCCCUCCGCCACUCUGCAUCUCUUUUCACUGGGGUCAGCCACGUGUCUCUUCCUGCCUUUUCACCUGGGUCUCGGGUUUGGCAGCUGCCCUGGGGCACAUCAUCUCAGCACCACCAAUUUAUUAGUCCUGUGCAAGUUGUAGAAAUCUCCAGUCCUUAAAAUAACAGUCAGUUAUUCUCCUGGGAUUGGUGGAAAGGAGAGUCUUUGGAGGGAGGAUCUGAGCGUCAUUCUCCCUCAGUGAGAGGAAUCGACAAGACAGAUCAUAGUGCCUUAUUCCAUUGCCCUCUCCGCCAGGCCGUCUGGCUUAGUACAUGGCUUCUGUCUCCCUAUCCGUGUCCAUCUGUCCCUUAAACUCACUCCCACACACAGAUAGCCACAUGGGAGGAUGGCUUCCCCGCGACCUCCCCGUCCCUUCCUCAAAGCUGUAGCCAGCCAUGUGUCCCCCACCCACCACAGGGCACCACUAGCAGCUUCGCCAAGGGCAGAGCUGUGCUGCAGACGGGUGUGCGCCCUGCCCUCCUCCCCAGCGGGUCCCCGCCUCUUCCCUCCAGCCAGGAGGAUGCGUGUCUCUUUCUUCUAGGCCUUCAAGGCCAGCUCCAUCUGACCCCCUCCUGGGCACGGGGACUAAGGCCACGGACCUUAGCCUCCUCUCAUCCAGAGGCACUGGGUCAAAAGCGGAAUUCUUUCCCCUAACCCGCUGUGAUUCGUGCCCCCAUGGUUGUUUUUCUGAGGGAGUGUAUUCAAUGUUUACUUAAGAAAUAACCUGUUUACAGCUGGAGGAGAAAUGUGCCCGUUGCUGGGUGGAGAUUUGACUCUCUGUACGGCUCCUGGCCUCCUUUGUGGCACUGCCCAUGGUGACCCCAGAGCGAAUGAAGGCAGGGGGCCGGGCCGGGGCACAGGCCCCACAACCCCUCUGCCCCUGACCCUGCGGUGCUAAGACCACUUGCCACCUUCCUCACAGCCUUCAUUCCCCGCCUCUCAUUCCCUUCCUCCAAGAUCUCUCUUUAACAUAUCAGUUAUCUCCUAGAAAACCAGUGUUUGGAGCAAUAAGAUUUUUUUUUUUUUUUCCGCUUGAGUCCUUUUCUAAAAAAAGGAAAAGAGCAGACAUUGUGGGAAUCUUUCUCUUUCUGCUGUUGCUGUUUACCUGUUUAGAAGACAGCUCUAACUUGGAUGGAUAUCUGGGUUUCAGCCUCAGGUUAUCCUCAGGAAGCUUGGAGAGGUAGGAUCAGGCCUCCACCCCCUAACUCUCUGCUCCUGCUGCCCAGGCUCCCAGACCUGCCCACCAAGUGCACGCCCACCUUUGCUCCUCUGUGCCGACCUCUCCCUGCCUGUCUGGGCUGUGCCUCUCAGUGGGGUUUUUAGGUUCUUGCCCUUCCCCAUCCUGGGCCUGGGCAGGGGGCCCAGCUGCUGGAGUCUCCAAGAUCUGGUGACCUGAGAAGAGCUGAGUUGUGUGGCUCCAGGCUCCAGACCCCUGGCUUGGGGCUGAAGCGCAGCCUUAGGGACAGCGUGGGCCAUUUCCUAUCCUGCCCUGCCAGGCUUCAAUGGCCAAGCCAUCUGGAGAGAAGGCAUUGGAAGUGGAGCAACAGGAUGUGUCAUGAGGUUGGCUAAUGUCAGCACGCAUAGUCGAGGGCUGAGUCCACUGCCAGUGGCUCCCGGAGUCCCUAAGGUUGGGAGGUAAACAGGAAGGAGACCCCUGCAUCUUUUUCCCUGAGAGCCUUCAGGAGGAAGGGAGUCCAUUUAGGGAUAUUUUAAAGAAGCCUUUGUUCUCCAGGUGCCUCUUUCCAUCAGAGCAGGGAGGAUGUUGGAGUGAUUUACAUUCAUGUGGGGCCAGCUUGGGUGCAAGGGAGGUUUUAACCCAGGCACAAGGUUAGUUUCAAAGACUAGUUAAUCUAUUUUCUUUGUUUUCUUUUUUUUUUUUUUUUUUUUUGCACAGAAGCUGGUAAUCUAGGACCUACGUGUGAACAACUUUAUAUAUGAAUAUUUUUUGUACUUGGUUUACUUGGGUUGGUAUGAUACAUUAUAUUUAAGUUCCUUGAACACUGUGGAUCCCCCUAAUGUGUAUGAAUGACUGAGGCUUUGUAAAUUAAGGGACGUUUGUGUGAAUAAAGUUAUUUGAUGGGGUCAAAGAAGCCAUAUGUGAUUUGAAAA
ensembl:lncRNA